rnacentral:rRNA from 1 species
AUUGAACGCUGGCGGAAUGCUUUACACAUGCAAGUCGAGCGGCAGCGCGGGGCAACCUGGCGGCGAGCGGCGAACGGGUGAGUAAUGCAUCGGAACAUGUCCAUGUCGUGGGGGAUAGCCCGGCGAAAGCCGGAUUAAUACCGCAUACGCCCGAGAGGGGAAAGUGGGGGACCGCAAGGCCUCACGCGAUUGGGUUGGCCGAUGUCCGA